UUCUCUGACAUUUUUGAAAGAAAAUGAAGACUCUGGCGUAGUAGGUUAAGCCUCCACCUUUGGUGCUGACAUCCUGAAUGAGUGUUGGUUUGUAUCCCGGCUGCUCCCUGCUCAUGUUCCUGGGAAAGCAGUGGAAAAAUGGUGUUUGGGUGCCUGCACCCAUGUUGGAGACUCAGAUGAAGCUCCUGGCUUUGGAUCAAUCCAGCUCUGGCCGUUGAAAUCAUUUGCUUCCUGCUUGUCUCAGAGCAAGUGGCAGCACUGAGGAAGAAAAGCAGAGACGCCCGACCGCUUGCACUCCUCCAGGCGUCCUCCACCCGCCAGGUGGAAGGAAACGGAGUGCAGGUUUUGAACAGCAGGUAGCACACUCAGGUGCCUCUGACUCCAUGGCAGAACUCCUCGAAUGGUAGGUGGCAGAGUCCUAUGUUCAGUGUUUCAGACAUAGCAGAGAAGUAAAAGAAACAAGAGUACUGACCUAAGUACCUACUAAGGAAGAUGCAGCCAAGGACCGAUGUCCUGCCAUGUCUGCUCUGACAAAACACAUCCAU